rnacentral:rRNA from 1 species
AGAAUCAACGCUGACGGCGUGCCUAACACAUGCAAGUCGCACGAGAAAGGGACUUCGGUCCUGAGUACAGUGGCGCACGGGUGAGUAACACGUGAAUAAUCUACCUCCGAGUGGGGAAUAACUGAGAGAAAUCUUAGCUAAUACCGCAUAACACUUACGAGUCAAAGCAGCAAUGCGCUUGGAGAGGAGUUCGCGGCAGAUUAGUUAGUUGGCGGGGUAAUGGCCCACCAAGACUGUGAUCGGUA